AGGGCGUACGGUGAAUGCCUUGGUGCCAACAGGCGAAGAAGGACGCGGCAAGCUGCGAAAAACCUCGGGAAGCUGCAAGCAAGCGAUGAUCCGGGGGUGUCCGAAUGGGGUAACCUGACUGGGGUAAUACCUGGUCGUUCAUACCUGAAUACAUAGGGUAUGAAACGCAAUACCCGCUGAAGUGAAACAUCUCAGUAAGCGGAGGAAAAGAAAGAGAAAUCGAUUCCGUAAGUAGUGGCGAGCGAAAGCGGAUGGAGCCCAAACCGAAGGUACUCCUUCGGGGUUGUAGGACCACGACAUAUUCGACCAUAGUGGAUAGUAGAACAGUCUGGAAAGGCUGGCCAUAGAAGGUGAAAGCCCUGUAGACGAAAUCCAGAGUGGGAAUUAGUGGUAUCCUGAGUAAUACAUCACACGUGGAACGAUGUAUGAAUCAGCGCGGACCACCGCGCAAGGCUAAAUACUAGUUGGCGACCGAUAGUGAACAAGUACCGCGAGGGAAAGGUGAAAAGAACCGCUGUGAGCGGAGUGAAAUAGAACCUGAAACCGUAUGUCUACAAAGUGUCAGAGCAGAGCAAUCUGCGAUGGCGUGCCUUUUGUUUAAUGAGUCUGCGAGUCAGUGUUUGUGGCAAGACUAAGGGCUUCCGGCCCGGAGUCGCAGCGAAAGCAAGUCCGAAUAGGGCGCAUUAAGUCGCAGGUACUGGACCCGAAGCGGAGGUGACCUACCCUUGGCCAGGUUGAAGCAUGGGUAAAACCAUGUGGAGGACCGAACAGGUGAACGUUGAAAAGUUCUCUGAUGAGCUGAGGGUAGGAGUGAAAGGCUAAUCAAACCCCGUGAUAGCUGGUUCUCUUCGAAAUGCAUUUAGGUGCAGCGUCACGUGCUGAUGCGCGGGGGUAGAGCACUGACAAGGCUAGGGGGCACACCCGCUUACCAAACCUUAUCAAACUCCGAAUACCGUGCAAUGGAACGUGGCAGUGAGACAGUGGGGGAUAAGCUUCAUUGUCGAGAGGGAAACAACCCAGACCAGCAGCUAAGGUGCCUAAAUAACGCUGAGUGGAAAGGAUGUGGGAUUACACAGACAGUGAGGAUGUUGGCUUAGAAGCAGCCACCAUUUAAAAAAUGCGUAAUAGCUUACUCAUCGAGUGAUCCUGCGCCGAAAAUGAUUGGCGAUCAAGCGUUAUACCGAAGCUCUGGACUUUGCCGCAAGGCAGAGUGGUAGAAGAGCGUUGCAUGCGCAUUGAAGGGUGAUGGCGACUGACCCUGGAGCGCAUGCAAGUGAGUAUGCAGACAUGAGUAACGUAAAGCCGGGUGAAAUCCCCGGCCGCCGUAAACCCGAGGUUUCCAGGGCAACGUGUUUCGUCCCUGGGUUAGCCGGGACCUAAGCCGAGGCCGAGAGGCGUAGGCGAUGGAUAUCAGGUUAAUAAUCCUGAGCUCGCGACCCUUAAACUGGGGGGACGCAUGAGAAGAGAUGACCAGGUUAUUGAAUUCCGAGCUGGGUCCACGGACCCAGCGCAUCAUCAAAUCGAGUGCCAAGAAAAGCCCCAGCGUAUGCUAAGCGACCCGUACCGCAAACCGACACAGGUGGGUGGGUAGAAUAUACCAAGGCGUAAGAGUGAAACCUGGUUAAGGAACUCGGCAAAUUAGCCCCGUAACUUCGGAAGAAGGGGUGCCUGCAGCGAUGCAGGCCGCAGAGAAAUGGCCCAACCGACUGUUUAUCAAAAACACAGCACUCUGCAAAGACGCAAGUCGAAGUAUAGGGUGUGACACGUGACCAAUGCCGAAAGAUUAAGGCAAGGGGUUAGCCGCAAGGCGAAGCUCUGAACCCAAGUCCCGGUGAAUGUCGGCCGUAACUAUAACGGUCCUAAGGUAGCGAAAUUCCUUGUCGGGUAAGUUCCGACCUGCACGAAUCGUGAAACGAGUUGGGCACUGUCUCAACCAGGCGCUCAGUGAAAUUGUAGUGGCGGUGAAGAUGCCGCCUACCCGCAGAAGGACGGAAAGACCCUAUAGACCUUAACUGUAAGCUGUCAUUGUUUCUUCGGUUUUAAUGCUCAGAGUAAGUGGGAGACGCUGAAGAUGCCCUUUAGGGGGCAUCCGAGUCAUCAAUGAGACACCACCCUUUGAAACUGGAGGAUCUAACCCUGAGCCGUGAAUCCGGCCAGAGGACCGUGUCAGCCGGUCAGUUUUACUGGGGCGGUAUCCUCCCAAAGAGUAACGGAGGAGCGCGAAGGUGGGCUCAGCCCGGUUGGCAACCGGGUGUCGAGUGCAUGGGCAUAAGCCCGCCUAACUGUGAGACCAACAAGUCGAGCAGAUGCGAAAGCAGGCCCAAGUGAUCCGGCGGUAGAAAGUGGAAUUGCCGUCGCUCAACGGAUAAAAGGUACCUUAGGGAUAACAGGCUGAUCACGCCCAAGAGUUCAUAUCGACGGCGUGGUUUGGCACCUCGAUGUCGGCUCGUCGCAUCCUGGGGCUGGAGAAGGUCCCAA
rnacentral:rRNA from 1 species